rnacentral:RNase_P_RNA from 1 species
AGUGCCACAGAAAGCAAACCGCCUGCCUUCGGGCAGGUAAGGGUGAAAGGGUGCGGUAAGAGCGCACCGCACCCCCGGCGACGGGGGUGGCAGGGCAAACCCCACCGGGAGCAAGACCGAAUAGGGGCGGCAUAUGGCGCACUUCCGCGCCGCAGCCCGGGUAGGUCGCGCGAGGCGUCCGGCAACGGGCGUCCCAGAUGAAUGGCCAUCUCCCGUGAAAACGGGGACAGAACCCGGCUUACAGACCGCCUGACGAU